CUGACGCUGAGGCACGAAAGCGUGGGUAGCAAACAGGAUUAGAUACCCUGGUAGUCCACGCUGUAAACGAUGAUUACUAGGUGUGGGGGGACUGACCCCUUCCGUGCCGGAGUUAACACAAUAAGUAAUCCACCUGGGGAGUACGGCCGCAAGGUUGAAACUCAAAGGAGUUGACGGGGGCCCGCACAAGCAGUGGAGUAUGUGGUUUAAUUCGAAGCAACGCGAAGAACCUUACCAGGUCUUGACAUCCUGUUGACCGUUCCUUAGUCGGAACUUCUCUUCGGAGCAACAGAGACAGGUGGUGCAUGGUUGUCGUCAGCUCGUGUCGUGAGAUGUUGGGUUAAGUCCCGCAACGAGCGCAACCCUUGUCCUUAGUAGCCAGCAUUCAGGUGGGCACUCUAGGGAGACUGCCGGAGACAAUCCGGAGGAAGGUGGGGAUGACGUCAAAUCAUCAUGCCCCUUAUGACUUGGGCUACACACGUGCUACAAUGGACGGAUCAGAGGGAAGCGAACCCGCGAGGGGGAGCGGAACCCAUAAACCCGUUCUCAGUUCGGACUGCAGCCUGCAACCCGGCUGCACGAAGCUGGAAUCGCUAGUAA
rnacentral:rRNA from 1 species